UACAGAGGCCCCAAGCGUUACUGAGAAUCACUGGGUUUAAAGGGUGCGUAGGUGGCGCGUUAAGUCCGUUGUGAAAGCCCUGGGCUCAACCCAGGAACUGCUUCGGAUACUGGCGCGCUUGAGGCUAGUAGGGGUCACUGGAACUGACGGUGGAGCGGUGAAAUGCGUGGAUAUCGUCAGGAACGCCAAUGGUGAAGGCAGGGGACUGGGCUAGUUCUGACACUGAGGCACGAAAGCGUGGGGAGCGAACGGG
rnacentral:rRNA from 1 species